GAAGGCUUAGUUGGGUAUAUUAAAAUGUGAACUCAGUCAGAUCUGAAAAGAAGCAGCUGUAAUAUUUUGAUAUAGGUUGACUAGCCUUCCUU
rnacentral:SRP_RNA from 1 species